rnacentral:lncRNA from 13 species
UACAACGCCUAGGAAGAUCUCUGGAGCAUGUUAAAGAUAUCAAAUCUUAUAUUGAUGGAGCACUUAAGGUGAGACAGUUAUUAUUACACAAAAACAUUUUCAACAAUUGAAAAGUCCAGACAACUUUUAGAGAUGAAAGUAAUGUAACCAAUGUUACCUUUGUGUCCUGAACCACAGAACUGUCCUGAAGGCUGCAGCACAUCUGGAAUGGUGAGUCCAUAACAAUCUUGGAUAACUGUCUCAAUCUAUUCUUCACUUCAGUGUACUCUAGGUUAAACACAUCUCACUGCUAGACAUGCCUGUCUGAUUCUUAUGUACGCUGUGCACUUCAUGAAACACUUUUUUUGAAAAGCAACGCUGCUAGAGCAUCUCUAAUCUGUCUUGUGACAUUGCUUAUCUCAAUCAGAAUACACACAGAUACAACAUAGCCUCCUACCACAGGCUGCACUAACUUCCUUUGCUCUCUCAUUUCAAUUAGCAAAACCUGGUUGUGUUGUCUCAUUUAUAUUUUUUUGUAAAAAAAAAAGGCUUUAUUUAACUAGGCAAGUCAGUUAAGAACAAAUUCUUAUUUACAAUGACAGCCUACCGGGGAACAACCUUGUCAGCUUGAUCCAGCAACCUUUUGAUUACUGGCCCAAUGCUCUAAUCACUAGGCUACCUGCCACGACAUAUCACAGUAUAUUAAUUCCUAAUGUGAUGGAUUGGUCUCUGCUAAAGGAAUGUUAACCUAGAUGUAUGUAUUGCAGUACAAUUGUUAUAUUAAACAAUUCUGUCAACUGUGUUUUCUAACAUUUACUUAUCUCUGUAGGAUCUAAAAUGCCAGUGUCUCCAAAUCCCCAUCACAUCAGUGGGAACAUGCACAGCAGACUACUUCAAACAGGGACUGGAGUCACUGCAGAGUGUGCAUCGUAUCGCAGGCCUACUGAAGAAAAGAUUAGGGAUUCAUUGGUCCAAGGGCUUUCAACUGGCCCUGCACUGUGAACCAGUGGUGUCUCCGAAGAUGUUCCUGCAGCAGCUGAAACAAGUGUUUGAAUUUAUCAACACCUCCGCUCUACACCCAACUGAUCAACUAUAACAACAUUUGAUUCUAUAUUAUUUUCUUUAUCAUUUCUUUAUUAACUAUUUAUCAAUUUGAAAUUGUAUUGCUAAUAAUUGGAUUAACACCUGGAAGACAUAUCUGCUACUGUGUUUGCUGUUCCUGUAUUGACCGGAUUGUGAAAUGACCAGUAAAUUAGAUACUAUAGCCUAGGUCUGAAUGUAGGUCUAUGUAUGGCAAAGUGCAUCACAGAUAAAUCUGUCUGAAGAAUAUUAGAGCCAUAUCGUUGGUUGACCUUUACUUUCUGGUGUUGAUCUUUCAAUUCUAGUGGUUAGAAACAAAGACAAUUUCUAUCUCAUCCUAAACCAACAUUAUAC